rnacentral:rRNA from 1 species
CAAUAGCGUAUAUUUAAGUUGUUGCAGUUAAAAAGCUCGUAGUUGGAUUUCGGAUGGGAUUUGCCGGUCCGUCGUUACGAUGUGCACUGGCCAGUCCUAUCUUGUUGUCGGGGACUAGCUCCUUGGAUUCACUUCCUGGGACUAGGAGCUGACGAGGUUACUUUGAGUAAAUUAGGGUGUUCAAAGCAAGCCUACGCUCUGAAUACAUUAGCAUGGAAUAACACGAUAGGACUCUGGCUUAUCUUGUUGGUCUGUGAGACCAGAGUAAUGAUUAAGAGGGACAGUCGGGGACAUUCGUAUUUCAUUGUCAGAGGUGAAAUUCUUGGAUUUAUGAAAGACGAACUUCUGCGAAAGCAUUUGUCAAGGAUGUUUUCAUUAA